UUUUUUUUUGUAUCAAACGUUAUAUUACUAGAACGUUGCAUUUUUUGACACUAUUGUUUUUUUUUAUAUUUAUAAAAACUGUGUUUUUUUUUUUUUUUUUUUUUUUUUUAUUUUUUAAAGUGAUGUUGAAAAUAUUCAAGCAAAAAAAAAAAAAAAAAAUUGUCUUUAUAUUUGUAAUAAGAAUCUGAUGUUUAUAAAAAAUAGACGAUAGCAUAAUGUCUUACAUAAUAAACAUGUGUGUGAAUAUAGACAUAUAUAUACAUAUAACAUAGUUAAUGAUUGUUUUGUAGCUAUAUUUAUUAAAAACAAAUAAAAUACUAAUAAAUAUGUAUGUAUAACGAAAAAAAAUUUAAAGAAUAAAAUAUAUAAAAAAAAUUAGUAUAAAAAAGAAAAAAAAAAUAUAUGUGUACUUACAUAAAAGAAAACAAGAAAUAUAUGGAUUAUUCGAAAAUUUACAAUUACUACUAUAAAUUAAUUUAUCUGAUUCUAAAAAAUAAAAAAAAAAAAAUAGACAUAAUAAGUUUGUGUUUUUUUUUUCUUUAUAACGUUAAAGAUUGUUACUACAUGCGUAAUGUGUGUUUUUUUUUUUUAGUUGAAAAUAAUUCAAUUAUAACAGAUUAUUAUUUUUUUUUAAGUUUAUGUUAAUACAGUAAAUUUUUAAUUAACACUUUUUUUUUUUUAUCUUUUUUUUUUUUUUUUGUUUGUUUGUUUGUUAAUAUGCUCAAUUGGUAGGAUAUAUACGAUUAUAUAUGUAUCAAAAAACUUAAUUAUUUUUAAUUUUUUUUCAUCGCUAAUUUUGUGGUGCUAACAAGUUUACUGCAAACUGAGGUGUUCACAUAUAAUAAAUUAUAUAGGUGCAUAAACCCUAACAUAAAUACAUAAACAUAUACACAUAAACCUUUAGUGUACUCGUGUAUUUUUACAUUAUCUAAUUAAAUAUAAUAAUAUAUAUAUAUAUAUAUAUAUAUAAUAAGCAAAUUAAAAAAAAAUGAAAUUGGGAUAUAUUGCACUUGUGUCUAUGAUUUUAUUUGUUCAUGAAACAUUGGGAGUACAAAUAAGUUUAAAAAGGAAAUAUCCAAAUGUUAAAAGUGGUGUAUAUCAAAUAGAUAACAAAGGCAGACCCAUAAAAAUUGUGGAUGUAAAUUAUAAUCAUAUAUGGGAGCUUCCAGAACAUGGUGAUGUGAAUUCUUAUAGCAUUGUUAAAAAAAAUGGAAAAGUAAAAAAAUUUAGCGAAGGAACAAAUAUUAAAUAUGGAACAACUAAAAGAUUGCAGUUAGAAAAUGUUGAAGAAGAAGAAGAAGAAGAUAAAAAUGAAAUAAUAAAAAAUAUUAAAAAAAAUAAAGCAAUUAACAAAAUAAAAAAUGUUGCCGAUGUAUCGAAAAAGGAAAAAGAGAUAGAAAAAAAAAAAAUAAAGAAACAAAAGAAGAAGGAUCUACCCCGUGCUAUGCACAUAACAGCAGAAGACGUUCCGGAAGAAGAGAAAAAUGAUGAUAAAGAUGAUAUAGAAAUAGCCAAUGAUCUUGGAGCUAAUAUUAGAGAAAACAUAGAAAGACAUUCUGAUGAAACUAAUCCAUCCCUUUUGAGCAAUGAGUUACUAGAUAGUAAAAUACCUGUCAACAUAAAAGCAUUGUUAAUGCAUGACUUGGACGAAAGAAAAUGGAUAUCAAAAAAACCAAUAAGUGAUAAAGUUUGUUUAAGAGAUUAUUCACAACAAUGUCCUGUAUCUUGGGAAAAAAUAUCUGACACACAGUGUAUAUCCCCUAAAGAUUAUUCCGGAUCAUGCUCUCACAUUAUGACUUUUGAACCGCUAAGUGCGAAAGAAAAAAGUGCCUUAGGAGUAGAAUGCCAAGGUAUAAAAAUAUUAAAAAAAAAAAAAAAAAAAAACAUGUGACGAAAUGUAA
ensembl:lncRNA